rnacentral:rRNA from 1 species
UACGUAGGGUGCAAGCGUUGUCCGGAAUUAUUGGGCGUAAAGAGCUCGUAGGCGGUCUGUCGCGUCUGCUGUGAAAACUCGGGGCUUAACCCCGGGCCUGCAGUGGGUACGGGCAGACUAGAGUGCGGUAGGGGAGACUGGAAUUCCAUGGUGUAGCGGUGAAAUGCGCAGAUAUCAGGAGGAACACCGGUGGCGAAGGCGGGUCUCUGGGCCGAUACUGACGCUGAGGAGCGAAAGCGUGGGGAGCGAACAGG